rnacentral:rRNA from 3 species
AGCGCAUACGGUGGAUGCCUUGGCAGUCAGAGGCGAUGAAAGACGUGGUAGCCUGCGAAAAGCUUCGGGGAGUCGGCAAACAGACUGUGAUCCGGAGAUGUCUGAAUGGGGGAACCCAGCCAUCAUAAGAUGGUUAUCUUACACUGAAUACAUAGGUGUAAGAGGCGAACCAGGGGAACUGAAACAUCUAAGUACCCUGAGGAAAAGAAAUCAACCGAGAUUCCCUUAGUAGUGGCGAGCGAACGGGGACCAGCCCUUAAGUUGUAUUGAGAUUAGCGGAACGCUCUGGAAAGUGCGGCCAUAGUGGGUGAUAGCCCUGUACGCGAAAAUCCCUUUGCAAUGAAAUCGAGUAGGACGGGGCACGAGAAACCUUGUCUGAAUAUGGGGGGACCAUCCUCCAAGGCUAAAUACUACUGACUGACCGAUAGUGAACCAGUACCGUGAGGGAAAGGCGAAAAGAACCGCGGAGAGCGGAGUGAAAUAGAUCCUGAAACCGUAUGCGUACAAGCAGUGGGAGCCCACUUUGUUGGGUGACUGCGUACCUUUUGUAUAAUGGGUCAGCGACUUAUUUUCAGUGGCGAGCUUAACCGAAUAGGGGAGGCGUAGCGAAAGCGAGUCUUAAUAGGGCGUCUAGUCGCUGGGAAUAGACCCGAAACCGGGCGAUCUAUCCAUGGGCAGGUUGAAGGUUGGGUAACACUAACUGGAGGACCGAACCGACUACCGUUGAAAAGUUAGCGGAUGACCUGUGGAUCGGAGUGAAAGGCUAAUCAAGCUCGGAGAUAGCUGGUUCUCCUCGAAAGCUAUUUAGGUAGCGCCUCAUGUAUCACUGUAGGGGGUAGAGCACUGUUUCGGCUAGGGGGUCAUCCCGACUUACCAAACCGAUGCAAACUCCGAAUACCUACAAGUGCCGAGCAUGGGAGACACACGGCGGGUGCUAACGUCCGUCGUGAAAAGGGAAACAACCCAGACCGUCAGCUAAGGUCCCAAAGUCAUGGUUAAGUGGGAAACGAUGUGGGAAGGCUUAGACAGCUAGGAGGUUGGCUUAGAAGCAGCCACCCUUUAAAGAAAGCGUAAUAGCUCACUAGUCGAGUCGGCCUGCGCGGAAGAUGUAACGGGGCUCAAACCAUGCACCGAAGCUACGGGUAUCAUCUUAUGAUGAUGCGGUAGAGGAGCGUUCUGUAAGCCUGUGAAGGUGAGUUGAGAAGCUUGCUGGAGGUAUCAGAAGUGCGAAUGCUGACAUGAGUAACGACAAUGGGUGUGAAAAACACCCACGCCGAAAGACCAAGGUUUCCUGCGCAACGUUAAUCGACGCAGGGUUAGUCGGUCCCUAAGGCGAGGCUGAAAAGCGUAGUCGAUGGAAAACAGGUUAAUAUUCCUGUACUUCUGGUUAUUGCGAUGGAGGGACGGAGAAGGCUAGGCCAGCCUGGCGUUGGUAGUCCAGGUUUAAGGUGGUAGGCUGAGAUCUUAGGUAAAUCCGGGAUCUUAAGGCCGAGAGCUGAUGACGAGUGUUCUUUUAGAACAUGAAGUGGUUGAUGCCAUGCUUCCAAGAAAAGCUUCUAAGCUUCAGGUAACCAGGAACCGUACCCCAAACCGACACAGGUGGUUGGGUAGAGAAUACCAAGGCGCUUGAGAGAACUCGGGUGAAGGAACUAGGCAAAAUGGCACCGUAACUUCGGGAGAAGGUGCGCCGGUGAGGGUGAAGCAUUUACUGCGUAAGCCCACGCCGGUCGAAGAUACCAGGCCGCUGCGACUGUUUAUUAAAAACACAGCACUCUGCAAACACGAAAGUGGACGUAUAGGGUGUGACGCCUGCCCGGUGCCGGAAGGUUAAUUGAUGGGGUUAGCGCAAGCGAAGCUCUUGAUCGAAGCCCCGGUAAACGGCGGCCGUAACUAUAACGGUCCUAAGGUAGCGAAAUUCCUUGUCGGGUAAGUUCCGACCUGCACGAAUGGCGUAACGAUGGCGGCGCUGUCUCCACCCGAGACUCAGUGAAAUUGAAAUCGCUGUGAAGAUGCAGUGUAUCCGCGGCUAGACGGAAAGACCCCGUGAACCUUUACUAUAGCUUUGCACUGGACUUUGAAUUUGCUUGUGUAGGAUAGGUGGGAGGCUUUGAAGCGUGGACGCCAGUCUGCGUGGAGCCAACCUUGAAAUACCACCCUGGCAACUUUGAGGUUCUAACUCAGGUCCGUUAUCCGGAUCGAGGACAGUGUAUGGUGGGUAGUUUGACUGGGGCGGUCUCCUCCUAAAGAGUAACGGAGGAGUACGAAGGUGCGCUCAGACCGGUCGGAAAUCGGUCGUAGAGUAUAAAGGCAAAAGCGCGCUUGACUGCGAGACAGACACGUCGAGCAGGUACGAAAGUAGGUCUUAGUGAUCCGGUGGUUCUGUAUGGAAGGGCCAUCGCUCAACGGAUAAAAGGUACUCCGGGGAUAACAGGCUGAUACCGCCCAAGAGUUCAUAUCGACGGCGGUGUUUGGCACCUCGAUGUCGGCUCAUCACAUCCUGGGGCUGAAGCCGGUCCCAAGGGUAUGGCUGUUCGCCAUUUAAAGUGGUACGCGAGCUGGGUUUAGAACGUCGUGAGACAGUUCGGUCCCUAUCUGCCGUGGACGUUUGAGAUUUGAGAGGGGCUGCUCCUAGUACGAGAGGACCGGAGUGGACGAACCUCUGGUGUUCCGGUUGUCACGCCAGUGGCAUUGCCGGGUAGCUAUGUUCGGAAAAGAUAACCGCUGAAAGCAUCUAAGCGGGAAACUUGCCUCAAGAUGAGAUCUCACUGGAACCUUGA